GAAACCAACUUUUCCCACUCUUUCUUGUUGGCGUCACCUUACAGCUUUUAUUCUGUUGGGUUAGAUGCCUGACAAGUAGGACACUAAUCUUUGAUUGGUGUCUGAUUGUUAUGGAGAUGUGGCAGAAUAAUUGGUUAAUUCCAAUAGGAAGAUGUAUCUCCAGCUGUUGAUAUUCGUGAUGGUACUGUUGGGAAGCCUUUCUCUUUUUGAUAGUCUAUUACACCUUUUUUUUAACCUGAUACAGUUGGUCAUAAUUCUUGCUACAUCA
rnacentral:snoRNA from 1 species